CCUAGUUUGGGAUUUAAACAAAGUUGUCAGGUUUAUAGGCUAUGAGAAUUUAUAAUGGACAAAAGAAGGUUAAGUAGUCUAGAUUGCAGAGGGCAGAAAUUACAGCCAGAAAACAAAAUUCAGACACCUAAUGAUGACACAAUCUUCCAAAUUGUAAAUCUGAUCUCAUUUUCAUUUAGUGACAUUUGACCUCUGUCAAUUUUCCAUACUUUAGUAUGUUCAGUAGCAAAUUGGAUAGCAUUGAAAAGAUGACACCGUAACUGCAGAAUCAUGUCUAUGGAUCAUUUCUGAGAAUCCGUCCCUAAUCUAAUCUCAUCUCCAGAAGCUUCUCAAGCUGCCCCCUGUCUUGGGUCAAGAUCAUUUUCUCAAUGAAAUGAGUUUGAACCCCAGUGGCAACAUGGGUGUCAGGUGGUGUUGGCGGUGGGACAGCCCGGAGCUGUGGUGACCUCCUAACAGCAUGGCAUAUGAAACCUCACAGACUUGGAGUGUCGUUGAUGGAAUGUCCAAAGCAUUGCAUGAGACUCUCAACAACUCAAUUACUGCAGUCACAAUCAGAAGAUAGAUUGAGUUGGAACCUGGAACCUGCUGAUCCUGUCAGGCAGCCUGUGAUUCUGGAAGUCAAGGCGGGGAAAAAAAAAAAGGAAAAUUUCUAGAUGAGGAAGGAGAUGAAAGCUUUUGUGUUGUGCAUUCAGUAAGACAUGUACUUUCUUAAGUAGGUGGCAAAGAAAGUCUGAGAGUCCUGCCUUUUUCAUCUCGGAAUCCUGCCUUUCCCACGUAGAGGAGACGCAGCACAUCCACUGCACAGUAGAUCCAGUUUUCUCUCAUAACCACUGUGCAGAUAAACACACAUUUGGCAAGGCAGUGCUGUUUUCAGUUGUUAAAAGCCCUACCAUUCCACGAGAUGAAGCAAAGGACAGAUGGUGAAGUAAACAGGCAACAAGGCUCUGACUCCACACCCCUCUCUGCAAGGAGGAUUCUCGGUCCUUACACCACAAAGUGUGAGAUGCUUACAGCCACCUCCUGGCCCUAACCCUGGAGCUCCACUGGAGCUCACCUCAGUGGAGCUCCCAGAAGUUCUCAGAGCAGGCUGUACCUGUCCGGGGUGAUCCUUUCCACUUCAAUCUUAGACAUGCAGUUCUCUGUGAAAUCUCACCUGACUCACUGAGGCAUGAACAUUUUAUCACAACUAUCAUCACGUAUUGUUAAAUCACCAAUUUUCUUGUCUCCGUCACUAGACUGUGAGCUCCUUGAAGGCUGUACCUGGGUUUGGCACUGAGUGGCACUCAGUAAAUACUUCUUGAAUAAGAGAAUGUAUGUACACAGUGGCAUGAAAUUGAUUUGGUUUUGUUGGUUUUCUUAAAUGCUAAAUUUGUAGGCAGUCCAGUAAAAACUAUAAAGCUGUUACCCUGUAAACCAUGAGUACCAUU
rnacentral:lncRNA from 1 species